ACCUUUUUGGCAGAUCUAUAUUGCAAAAGACUUAGAAUCUUAUCAACCUAUU
rnacentral:tRNA from 1 species